UACGAAGGGAGCUAGCGUUAUUCGGAAUAACUGGGCGUAAAGCGCAUGUAGGCGGAUCUACAAGUCAGAGGUGAAAUCCCGGGGCUCAACCCCGGAAUUGCCUUUGAAACUGUAGAUCUUGAGUAUGACAGAGGAUGGUGGAAUUUCCAGUGUAGAGGUGAAAUUCGUAGAUAUUGGAAAGAACACCGGUGGCGAAGGCGACCAUCUGGGUCAUAACUGACGCUGAGAUGCGAAAGCGUGGGGAGCGAACGGG
rnacentral:rRNA from 1 species